AUACGUAGGGUGCGAGCGUUGUCCGGAUUUAUUGGGCGUAAAGGGCUCGUAGGUGGUUGAUCGCGUCGGAAGUGAAAUCUUGGGGCUUAACCCUGAGCGUGCUUUCGAUACGGGUUGACUUGAGGAAGGUAGGGGAGAAUGGAAUUCCUGGUGGAGCGGUGGAAUGCGCAGAUAUCAGGAGGAACACCAGUGGCGAAGGCGGUUCUCUGGACCUUUCCUGACGCUGAGGAGCGAAAGCGUGGGGAGCGAACAGGCUUAGAUUCCCUGGUAGUCCACGCUGUAAACGGUGGGUACUAGGUGUGGGGUCCAUUCCACGGAUUCCGUGCCGUAGCUAACGCUUUAAGUACCCCGCCUGGGGAGUACGGCCGCAAGGCUAAAACUCAAAGGAAUUGACGGGG
rnacentral:rRNA from 1 species